GGCCCUAUGGGUUGUAAACUGCUUUUAUAAGGGAAUAAAGUGAGUCUCGUGAGACUUUUUGCAUGUACCUUAUGAAUAAGGACCGGCUAAUUCCGUGCCAGCAGCCGCGGUAAUACGGAAGGUCCGGGCGUUAUCCGGAUUUAUUGGGUUUAAAGGGAGCGUAGGCCGGAGAUUAAGCGUGUUGUGAAAUGUAGAUGCUCAACAUCUGCACUGCAGCGCGAACUGGUUUCCUUGAGUACGCACAAAGUGGGCGGAAUUCGUGGUGUAGCGGUGAAAUGCUUAGAUAUCACGAAGAACUCCGAUUGCGAAGGCAGCUCACUGGAGCGCAACUGACGCUGAAGCUCGAAAGUGCGGGUAUCGAACAGGAUUAGAUACCCUGGUAGUCCGCACGGUAAACGAUGGAUGCCCGCUGUUGGUCUGAAUAGGUCAGCGGCCAAGCGAAAGCAUUAAGCAUCCCACCUGGGGAGUACGCCGGCAACGGUGCAACUCAAAGGAAUUGACGGA
rnacentral:rRNA from 1 species